rnacentral:lncRNA from 1 species
AUUCAGGACCCUUGGCCCUCCUGUCAUGGCUAAGGGUUCAAACAAAGUAGCAUUUGGCGUGACAAUUCACACAGACUCCACAGGCAAAGGGAGUACUGAACAGGGGUCUUGGAGAAGAGAGCCCCAAGAAGAGAUGGGGCAGAGCAAGAGAAUUGGGGCCACCUGGAAAAGCGUCUUAAGUGAACAAAAGGAGACUGACCUGGGCCAAGGAAGAAAGAGGCAGGCCAACAGCAGGAAAUGAAAAGCAGCCUGGGAAGACAGCAGAGGAGAGAGCAGUAAUCAGAACCACACAGAAUAUUUCCAUAGGAAAAAUGCUUGGCAUUCUGCUAAGCCCGAUGGCUUGCAAAACAACUGGGGAUGUACACUGAUCCCCAAAGACAAGUGGAUCCCAUGGCCUGGCCUGAUGCCUUCAGAAGCAACCACUGGUGAGCUAAGGAAGAGCUGGCAGAAAAUGGCUGAGUCCCACAGCCUCCUAAGUCACUCCAUGUUGGCUUCAUCCGAAGCCUUCCACCAUUCCUUAAAUCUUCCUUUUGACGUCAUUCUGUAUAGACACAGAAGUGACUAUGGAUAUUUUUCAUUCGGCUAUGGCUGCUUACAGGUACAGCCCCUGCAGAGCACUGGACCUUUGAGGCUACAGCCAACAUUCUGCUAUCCUGUCUCAGCAUCUUUGACACCCAUUUCCUAGGUGGGAAUAAGAGGAGAUCCUGGCAGCCACAUCUGAGGAGAACGGAGAUACUUCACCUGAGGGUCACCUAGCUAACGACGUCAUCAUCCUUCCCCGGUCCAGCAGCUGCAGCAUGAGAUCAUCGUGGGCCUACCACUUACCAGCUGGUGACCUUAGGAGGAUGAUUUAACUUCUUCUGUGCCUCUGCGCCUCAGGCCCCAGCCUGCCUGAAGUAAGGGCAGUGAUGUCGGAUUUAGAAGUCUGUGGCAAAGGGGUUCUGGGAUGAGAUAAAAGUGUAUAACAAGAACCUCAGACAGGAGGUUCCAGAGCCCAGGUAAGAUGGUUUAAAUAAGAACAUCCACCCAUCUACCCAUAAGCUCAGGUAUUUGAACACGUAGUUCCUAGUUGAUGUAUUUGUUACCUUGUGAGGUCUCAGCUUCCUGCUGCCAUGUCUGCCUGCUGUCAUGCCUCCCUUCCAUGAUACACUGUUAGCCCUCUGUGAUCAUGAGUCCAAAUAAACUUCUUCCAUUCUUUGGGCUUGAUCAUGGUGUCUUAUCGCAGCAAUAGAAAAAUUAACUCAUCUGUCAUGACCCAUUGAAACCAUUUAGCCCAAGUUCUCCCAUUCUGAACCAAGUAGAUCAGGAUCUAUGGGUAGUAUUGUCAAAGCUCUGUGCGAGAUGGUGUAGGCUACUAGGGCUGAGUCUCACUGAUGCUGAGUCUUGAGUUCUAUGUGUGAUUUUACAAUGUGGAUAUACCUGUGGAAAGGCAUGCAUGUUAGCAAGUGUGAAGUCCUUAUCUAGAUUUCUGAGAGAGCCACAGGAAUCUUGUAGUUUUCUUUUUCAAGACUUGAGGGUUGGGAGCAUUUAUGACCCCUGAAUGAAAGCCACAGCCUUGGCUGAUGGAAGGUGUCUGUUGACUCUUCCAGCUGGCAAUGUGCCCCAUCUCCACCACACAGAGCAGACUACAUGCACCAAAUGUUCCUGUACUACUGGCACCUGUGACUUGCAAACACUUCUUCCUGGGGCCAGGAUAUGCACAUUUCACCCAUGAGUAGCAGGGCUGAGACUGCCUCCCUGUGGCUUAAUGAGAGCCGCCAGCAUAUAACCUGCCCUAAGCAGUAAGGGCCACAGAGGGAGGAAGGUCUGCCACCCAGUUCUAAGGGUGAGGACCAGCUUGCUGGGAUACACAGACUAGAAACAAAGUCCUCAGAUAUUCUGACGACUUUGACAGAUGUUUGAUACCUGCAUUUGCAGGUUCUUGGGACACUAAAAAUCUCAACUACUUAGAUCCUUCAAACCUAAAUAAAUCUGCCAGGUGUUCCAAAGACAAUCCUCCAUUUAUGUAUUUGCUUUAAAUAUUUAAGAGACUUCCGCCACAAAAGACCUUGGAGACCAUGCAUGAGAUGAUAGAAAACC